rnacentral:rRNA from 1 species
AUUGAACGCUGGCGGCAUGCCUAACACAUGCAAGUCGAACGGCAGCACAGCAGUAGCAAUACUGUGGGUGGCGAGUGGCGGACGGGUGAGGAAUACGUCGGAAUCUGCCCAGUCGUGGGGGAUAACUAGCCGAAAGGUUAGCUAAUACCGCAUACGACCGAGAGGUGAAAGCGGGGGACCGCAAGGCCUCGCGCGAUUGGAUGAGCCGACGUCGGAUUAGCUAGUUGGCGGGGUAAAGGCCCACCAAGGCGACGAUCCGUAGCUGGUCUGAGAGGAUGAUCAGCCACACUGGAACUGAGACACGGUCCAGACUCCUACGGGAGGCAGCAGUGGGGAAUAUUGGACAAUGGGCGCAAGCCUGAUCCAGCAAUGCCGCGUGUGUG